rnacentral:lncRNA from 1 species
UAAUAGACCUUCUAAAUUAUGCAUUUCUUCUUUGACUACUAUCAAAGUAACGGCCUUAUCACUACAAAAAAAUUAUUUUAUUGAAAAUUACUUAUCGUACUUAAGGUCAUAGGCGAUUAAAGUCGAGUAGCUUACCAAUAACUUAAAUUUCAUUAUUUUAUCUUUUUCUAUGUUUUUUUGCCAUUCCCUACUAUUCUUUUAUGUAUUCAAAAGAAAAAUCAUUUUUCCCCGAAAUUAGUUUUUUACUUUAGAGAUAGCCCCUCCUUUCUACCUUUCUAACAGUUUCAGGUUAUUCUCUUUCUGUGUAGGGGUCCAUCUCUUUGGACUGAUUGCAAACAAUGCACACGAAAUUGCAGGUUUGCCUCACUUUUUGUUGCUACUUAUCUCUAAUUUAGUGAAUUAGUUAACUAUGCUAAUGUUAUUACCUUGUUUAAAUUUCAUUUUACUGUGUUUAGAUUUUAACUUUGGGGCAUUCUAACAGAUGAACAUGACAUUUUUCUGCAUGCAUUGCCUCAUGGUUGUAAGCUUUUUUUGAUGAAUCCAAAAAAAGUAACUUUCAUUUUGUUGUGUGGUCGAAUGACACGUAAGCAAGCAUCAGAAUUGAAGGUGUGAGUGAGCCCUACUUGAAGCUUUGACCUUCUUCAAUGGAGUCUUGAGUUGAGAGAGUUUAUGAUUUGAUUUAGUGUGUUGAGUUAGAAUGACUUAGGUUAAUGGGGUUGGGGUCUUAUAGUUGGGUUUAGUUAGGUAAUUAACUCACUAACCAACCCCCUUAACCCCUAGUUAAAUAACUAACUCGAAAGUCAACUCCCAACUAAUAACUAAAAAUUUGAAAACUGGCAGCAUCUACGUUGGCCAUCCACGGACUGUCAAUUGAUUAAUGGUCCGUGGUUUGGUCUCGUGGUUUGGGUCUGGGAGUGUAAAUGUUGCAGGUCUCUAAGAACCAAGUCUUGAUGCAGGCCUGAUCCACGAACCCAAUCCACGGGGUGGGGAUCAAUUGACGGCUCGUCAAUGGCCUUCGUAGGCAAAGCUGUUUUUGACAGCUUUUGGCCAAACACUUGGGUCCUCCUCAAGGACCCCUUGGGUAGUCCUUGGGGGUCGUACCCGGACGUUUUGACUUUAAAAACAUUAUUUUACCUAUUUAAAACCUUUUUACAAGAUUAGACCAUCAUACGACACUCCCAAGCCUUCCCAAGGCCUAAGAACACCUACUAGUUCAAUUUCACUAGUUUCCGAACGUCAUGGUCGUUUCUUGACGUUUAGACUCUUAACUCUUCCAAACUAAGUUAAUUACAUUAGUUUAGGUCUAGAAACAUCAUUUUAAAUAUUUUUAAGUCAUUAAUCAUAAAGUAAGGCUCUAGCUUAGGUCAUUGGAUUUCCGGGGUGUUUCAUGUUAUCAUUUAUAAAAAGGGCAUUUAUUUCAUGACAUCUUCUAAUUAUCAUAUUAACAUGUUUUUGACUUUUGUUUAUUAGAAAUGUUGUAGUUAAAUGUUAUUACUAAUUGAGUUGGUGAUUUACUCCCCACUUUUUUUUGUUGCACAGAUCACAGGUGACGUCGACAAGACUUUAGCUAUAGUGUACGAGUUGACAAAUCUAUAGUUCACGGGGAUUGCUUUGUGUGGACAAGAAGUUAUUUAUUUACUACCGCCCUUUUCUUUUGAACUCUUAGAGUCGCUUUGUUAAUCAUUUCACUAAUGUCAUGCAUAAUUUUUCAUUAUUGGAAACUUGAAAUAGUAUUAGACUUCUUUUCAUAUUUGGAGAUGGAUUUAGUAUUAUUAUAUUGUUGAUGCAUGUUAUGGCUUGCUUUUUUUAGCGAUAUUGGUUGGAUAUGUUAUUGAUUUUUGAGACAGG